UAGCCUAUGUUACUCUCCAAGUUCUUAAACUAUAACCAUGUAAAAAAUCAGAUCAAUCCGUUGCUCCGUAGCGGCGUGAGUGAAGGACAAAGCAA